rnacentral:lncRNA from 1 species
GCUGAGAGGGAGCCUGAAAGGGAGGCCCAUCGGGGGAGGCAGCAGGGGGGGGUCCAGCACCCUCUGGGGGCCCUCCGAGGCCUGCCAGCCCCCAAGAGCCCAGGAGGAGCUCUUUCCUGCAGGCACCCCAGGCCCGGCCCCCAGAAAAACAGAGCCACCAAGGCAGGCCCCGGGACAGGCCUCGGAGCCUGGGACACCCUGGGGCUGGGGGGAGCCCGUGCCUGGGGAUGCCCGCAGAACCGAAGAGCUCAGGCUCUCCUCCCCCGCCUGAGGGAGGAGGACCGGAGAAAGCGGGGACGGGCGCCCCAGGGGGCCGGCAAAGGGGCUGGGAGAGGCCUCAGUCCCAGAAGAGAAGCCCAGAAACCCGGAGAGGGUCCUUCUGGCGAGCCGGCUCUCCCAGCUCCCUCCUGGGAGCUCGGGGGGACUGGGCGGCCUCGGCUUCCCUCGGGGCCCGGGGCCAGGCUGGGAGCUUCCGGAAGACGAGCUCCCCCGAGAGGAAGCCAGGCCGGCACAGCCCCGUCGGGUCACGGGGAUUCUGCCGCGGAAAGGAACAGGGGCCAGAAGGCGGGUCCUGGGAAGAGGCUGAGGGGGCCCCGCUUUGCCCACAGCGGGAGGAGUCGAGGCUACCAGGGUACAAUUAGCCUCUCUGGCACCCUCCCCACCGGCAGAGGCCGGGACAGCGCGCCGGAAGACAGCACUCGGAAGACGGCGCGGUGGAGGCUGGGGGAGGGGCAGGGUAAGAAACCCCAGCAUAGGAGCACUCAGCCUGGAGGAACAGCAGAGAAAGAGGGAGGAAAUUCUCUCGCCUGGGGCGGGGCCCGUGUCGGUGUGGCUAAACGGGCUCCAUCUGGGGGUGUGGCCUGGGCAGGGGGCGGGGCUGGCUUGGGGGCGGGCUCUGAGGAUUUUAAACUAGGCUUUUCCGGGUUCUUUACCUUGGCUUUCCCCGUCCCGGAUUCCGGUGGCGCUGGGCUCCUGCACAGUUUGUCCUAUCCCCAAGGAGGUGAGGCCCCUGUUCCUGUGGGCGGGCUCUGGAAAGGAGCCGCCCCGCCCCCACCCGAACUCUAUUCUUUCCACCCCUCCUCCCCUUCACUUCCUCCUUCUCUCCCUCGCUCCAUCCCUCUCCCGCUCCCCAAGUCGCUGCUCUCACUUGCCUGCCCCCAGAGAACCACAGUUCCCCCACUUGCCCCUCCCCUAAGCCCCAUCCUGUCCCACUCUUCCCUCUCCCUUCCUCCUUCUGUUUCCCGCUCCCCAAAUCCUUGUUCUCAUGUGGCUACCACCAGGGACUCCCCCUUCCUCCAGACCCCUCCCCUGCCUCCCUACAUUUCUGGGGCUUCUCCCCCUGCACAAGAGCCUCUGACGCUAGCACAGUUCAGCUCCUCUUUCCCAUGA